AAAUAGAUACCCAGGUAGUCCACGCCCUAAACGAUGUCAACUGGUUGUCGGGGAAGCAAUUCCUUGGUAACGAAGCUAACGCGUGAAGUUGACCGCCUGGGGAGUACGGCCGCAAGGUUAAACUCAAAGGAAUUGACGGGGACCCGCACAAGCGGUGGAUUAUGUGGAUUAAUUCGAUGCAACGCGAAAAACCUUACCUACCCUUGACAUGUACGGAACCUCGCAGAGAUGUGAGGGUGCCCGAAAGGGAGCCGUAACACAGGUGCUGCAUGGCUGUCGUCAGCUCGUGUCGUGAGAUGUUGGGUUAAGUCCCGCAACGAGCGCAACCCUUGUCAUUAGUUGCUACAUUCAGUUGGGCACUCUAAUGAGACUGCCGGUGACAAACCGGAGGAAGGUGGGGAUGACGUCAAGUCCUCAUGGCCCUUAUGGGUAGGGCUUCACACGUAAUACAAUGGCCGGUACAGAGGGCUGCCAACCCGGCGAGGGGGGAGCUAAUCCCAGAAAGCCGGUCGUAGUCCGGAUUGUUCUCUGCAACUCGAGAACAUGAAGUCGG
rnacentral:rRNA from 1 species